UACGUAGGGUGCAAGCGUUGUCCGGAAUUAUUGGGCGUAAAGAGCUCGUAGGCGGUCUGUCGCGUCUGCUGUGAAAACCUAGGGCUUAACUCUGGGCGUGCAGUGGGUACGGGCAGGCUAGAGUGCGGUAGGGGGAGACUGGAAUUCCUGGUGUAGCGGUGAAAUGCGCAGAUAUCAGGAGGAACACCGGUGGCGAAGGCGGGUCUCUGGGCCGUAACUGACGCUGAGGAGCGAAAGCGUGGGGAGCGAACAGG
rnacentral:rRNA from 1 species